UUAUUUAUUUAAUUUAUGUGACCACGCUCUUCUCCUCCCCCACCAAUGCCAAAACCAACACCAACACCAACACCAACACCAAUUCCAAUUCCACCACCGCCGCUACAAAAACAACUCAACAGCGAUUCGGCCGAGUGCGAAAGANAAAUCAACGGCUGAAAAUAAAAAUCUUACAAAAUGUGAUAAUAUGACAUUAAAAUUUUAGAUCAAAGAUAUUAAUCUUGUUUUAUAUAGUAUAAAGAAUUUUUUAUCAAAAUUUUACGUGAUUUGGAUAUUUCUACACCGUUAAACUUGCAAACGGCUUACCACGACCAUUAAAAUUAUUAAUUUUGAGUCCCUUCUAUCACUAGGUAAAUGAUAUCGAAAAAUUAUAAAUUUUAUUUUCUAAGUACUUCAAAUACUCUAAAUCAAGUUUAAUGGAGCCGAUUGAUGAUUCGAAAGUCGCAACAUUUGAAAACGAUCUGGAAGCACGGAAGGCUCCGUAUUUCCAGAAGCAUAGUAGCCUCUAUAUAUAUAUAUAUAUAUAUAUAUAUAUUCGCUACAGCAGCAUUGCUCAGAUUGCAAAAUGGAGG
rnacentral:lncRNA from 1 species